GCUCGUAGUUGGAUUUCUGUGGGGGCGGAGCGGCCGGCCGCAACUCGCGGUUCGAGCUGGCGCUUCCCCUACAUCCUGCCGCGAACCGUGCUACCAUUAGUUUGGUGGCGCCGGGGAUCGGCUCGUUUACUUUGAGAAAAAUAGAGUGUUCAAAGCAGGCCACACGCCUUGAAUAAGUUAGCAUGGAAUAAUAAUAAAGGACUUCGGUUCUAUUUUGUUGGUGUUCAGGACUGAAGUAAUGAUUGAUAGGGACAGUUGGGGCGGUCAGUAUUCCAAAGCGAGAGGUGAAAUUCUUAGACCUUCGGAAGACUAACAGCUGCGAAAGCGUUCCGCAAGGAUGUUCCCUUUGAUCAAGAACGAAAGUUGGGGGAUCGAAGACGAUCAGAUACCGUCGUAGUCUCAACUAUAAACUAUACCAGCUAGGGAUCGGCCAACGUUAAAUUAUCCGACUUGGUCGGCACCUUAUGAGAAAUCAAAGCAUCUGGGUUCCGGGGGGAGUAUGGUCGCAAGGCUGAAACUUAAAGGAAUUGACGGAAGGGCACCACCAGCCGUGGAGCCUGUGGCUUAAUUUGACUCAACACGGGAAAACUUACCAGGUCCAGACAUAGUAAGGAUUGACAGAUUGAUAGCUCUUUCUUGAUUCUGUGGGUGGUGGUGCAUGGCCGUUCUUAGUUGGUGGAGUGAUUUGUCUGGUUAAUUCCGUUAACGAACGAGACCCCAGCCUGCUAAAUAGCGCGGUUGAGCUUUGCUCGGCGCGAGCUUCUUAGAGGGACUAUGAUGCGCGAUAGCACAUGGAAGUUUGGGGCAAUAACAGGUCUGUGAUGCCCUUAGAUGUUCUGGGCCGCACACGGGCUACACUGGCGCCUGCAACGAGCAUAUCAGCUGGCCCGAGAGGGUCUUGGCUAAUCUUUUGAACCGGCGCCGUGCUUGGGAUUGACCAUUGCAAUUGUUGGUCAUGCAACGAGGAAUGCCUUGUAAACGCGAGUCAUCAACUCGCAUUGAAUACGUCCCUGCCCUUUGUACACACCGCCCGUCGCUCUACCGAUGAAUGUUCCGAUGAAAUUUUCGA
rnacentral:rRNA from 1 species